rnacentral:rRNA from 1 species
GCGAAGGUGUGCUGUGAGGCAUGCUGGAGGUAUCAGAAGUGCGAAUGCUGACAUAAGUAACGAUAAAGCGGGUGAAAAGCCCGCUCGCCGGAAGACCAAGGGUUCCUGUCCAACGUUAAUCGGGGCAGGGUGAGUCGACCCCUAAGGCGAGGCCGAAAGGCGUAGUCGAUGGGAAACAGGUUAAUAUUCCUGUACUUGGUGUUACUGCGAAGGGGGGACGGAGAAGGCUAUGUUGGCCGGGCGACGGUUGUCCCGGUUUAAGCGUGUAGGCUGGUUUUCCAGGCAAAUCCGGAAAAUCAAGGCUGAGGCGUGAUGACGAGGCACUACGGUGCUGAAGCAACAAAUGCCCUGCUUCCAGGAAAAGCCUCUAAGCAUCAGGUAACAUCAAAUCGUACCCCAAACCGACACAGGUGGUCAGGUAGAGAAUACCAAGGCGCUUGAGAGAACUCGGGUGAAGGAACUAGGCAAAAUGGUGCCGUAACUUCGGGAGAAGGCACGCUGAUAUGUAGGUGAAGUCCCUCGCGGAUGGAGCUGAAAUCAGUCGAAGAUACCAGCUGGCUGCAACUGUUUAUUAAAAACACAGCACUGUGCAAACACGAAAGUGGACGUAUACGGUGUGACGCCUGCCCGGUGCCGGAAGGUUAAUUGAUGGGGUUAGCGGUAACGCGAAGCUCUUGAUCGAAGCCCCGGUAAACGGCGGCCGUAACUAUAACGGUCCUAAGGUAGCGAAAUUCCUUGUCGGGUAAGUUCCGACCUGCACGAAUGGCGUAAUGAUGGCCAGGCUGUCUCCACCCGAGACUCAGUGAAAUUGAACUCGCUGUGAAGAUGCAGUGUACCCGCGGCAAGACGGAAAGACCCCGUGAACCUUUACUAUAGCUUGACACUGAACAUUGAGCCUUGAUGUGUAGGAUAGGUGGGAGGCUUUGAAGUGUGGACGCCAGUCUGCAUGGAGCCGACCUUGAAAUACCACCCUUUAAUGUUUGAUGUUCUAACGUUGACCCGUAAUCCGGGUUGCGGACAGUGUCUGGUGGGUAGUUUGACUGGGGCGGUCUCCUCCUAAAGAGUAACGGAGGAGCACGAAGGUUGGCUAAUCCUGGUCGGACAUCAGGAGGUUAGUGCAAUGGCAUAAGCCAGCUUGACUGCGAGCGUGACGGCG